GGGGUGUAGCUCAGUGGUAGAGCGCUUGCCUACCAUGCAGGAGGCCCUGGGUUUGAUUUCCAGCACCACCA